GAUGAACGCUGGCGGCGUGCUUAACACAUGCAAGUCGAACGAGAGGUGAAGACGGAAACCUUCGGGCGGAAGGCUUUAUUUCGAGUGGCGGACGGGUGAGUAACGCGUGGGUAACCUGCCUCAUACAGGGGGAUAACAGUUGGAAACGACUGUUAAUACCGCAUAAGACCACAGCACCGCAUGGUGCGGGGGUAAAAACUCCGGUGGUAUGAGAUGGACCCGCGUUCGAUUAGCCAGUUGGCGGGGUAACGGCCCACCAAAGCGACGAUCGAUAGCCGAUCUGAGAGGAUGACCGGCCACAUUGGGAAUGAGACACGGCCCAAACUCCUACGGGAGGCAGCAGUGGGGAAUAUUGCACAAUGGGGGAAACCCUGAUGCAGCGACGCCGCGUGAGUGAAGAAGUAUUUCGGUAUGUAAAGCUCUAUCAGCAGGGAAGAAAAUGACGGUACCUGAGGAAGAAGCCCCGGCUAACUACGUG
rnacentral:rRNA from 1 species